GUGACGGGUAGCCGGCCUGAGAGGGCGACCGGCCACACUGGGACUGAGACACGGCCCAGACUCCUGCGGGAGGCAGCAGUGGGGAAUAUUGCACAAUGGGCGAAAGCCUGAUGCAGCGACGCCGCGUGAGGGAUGACGGCCUUCGGGUUGUAAACCUCUUUCAGCAGGGACCAAGCGAGAGUGAGUGUACCUGCAGAAGAAGCACCGGCUAACUACGUGCCAGCAGCCGCGGUAAUACGUAGGGUGCAAGCGUUGUCCGGAUUUAUUGGGCGUAAAGGGCUCGUAGGCGGCCUGUCGCGUCGGGAGUGAAAGCCCACUGCUUAACGGUGGGUCUGCUUUCGGUACGGGCGGGCUAGAGUAUGGCAGGGGAGACUGGAAUUCCUGGUGUAGCGGUGGAAUGCGCAGAUAUCAGGAGGAACACCGGUGGCGAAGGCGGGUCUCUGGGCCAUUACUGACGCUGAGGAGCGAAAGCGUGGGGAGCGAACAGGAUUAGAUACCCUGGUAGUCCACGCCGUAAACGUUGGGCGCUAGGUGUGGGGACUGUUUCCACGGUCUCCGUGCCGUCGCUAACGCAUUAAGCGCCCCGCCUGGGGAGUACGGCCGCAAGGCUAAAACUCAAAGGAAU
rnacentral:rRNA from 1 species